AGGCAGCAGUGGGGAAUAUUGCACAAUGGGCGAAAGCCUGAUGCAGCGACGCCGCGUGAGGGAUGACGGCCUUCGGGUUGUAAACCUCUUUCAGCAGGGAAGAAGCGAAAGUGACGGUACCUGCAGAAGAAGCGCCGGCUAACUACGUGCCAGCAGCCGCGGUAAUACGUAGGGCGCAAGCGUUGUCCGGAAUUAUUGGGCGUAAAGAGCUCGUAGGCGGCUUGUCACGUCGGUUGUGAAAGCCCGGGGCUUAACCCCGGGUCUGCAGUCGAUACGGGCAGGCUAGAGUUCGGUAGGGGAGAUCGGAAUUCCUGGUGUAGCGGUGAAAUGCGCAGAUAUCAGGAGGAACACCGGUGGCGAAGGCGGAUCUCUGGGCCGAUACUGACGCUGAGGAGCGAAAGCGUGGGGAGCGAACAGGAUUAGAUACCCUGGUAGUCCACGCCGUAAACGAUGAACACUAGGUGUAGCGGAUUUAUUCAUGUCUGCUGUGCCGUAGCUAACGCAUUAAGUGUUCCGCCUGGGGAGUACGGCCGCAAGGCUAAAACUCAAAUGAAUUGACGG
rnacentral:rRNA from 1 species